AAACAACUCUCAGCAACGGAUAUCUUGGCUCUUGCAACGAUGAAGAACGUAGCGAAAUGCGAUACGUAGUGUGAAUUGCAGAAUUCCGCGAAUCAUCGAGUCUUUGAACGCAAGUUGCGCCCGAGGCUUGACCAAGGGCAUUUCUGCCAGAGCGUCACC
rnacentral:rRNA from 1 species